ensembl:lncRNA
AAAGAAACCUGGGCUCACAAUGAGCCUGAACUGCUCGGGUGUCUGAGCUUGCACAGGGCACGUGGGGUUCCCAAGCCUCACCGUGCUGCUUUUAAUUCAUUGCAUGGAAAGGAGCUGGCAUUGAUGCACCUCUUGCCCUGCCUGAGCUCCCCAACCCACCAUGCUGGCUGCAGCCCUGAACUGGUGAAAGCCAUGGGUCCUGGGGCUCCGGCAGCAGGCUGUCUGGAGCACCAAGAAGACGGAAUGCAUAGGCAGCUAUUAGAAAAGCACUGUUAGUGCCCAAGUCAGGAAAUGCAGCUGUUAAAUCCCGAGCCAUACUGGAGCAGAGGUAUUUCAGAUGAAGCUGCCUUACAUCCCUUAACCCUUCCUCCUCUGGGAGAGAUGGAAAUUCUACUGGGAAGCCCUGGCAGGGCUUAGCACUGUCAGCACAUGAGCUCCCUGGCUGCCACCUCCUUAUUGGGCUGGAGGCACACUGAGGCUGGCAGCUGGCAAAAAAAAAAAAAAGAAGAAGAAAAAAACAAACCACAGGAAUCCCACUCCUGAGGAAUCUGGUCAUUUCAAGGUUCCCCUAUAGAUUCACAGGUUUUAAAGGCCGGGAGGGACAAUUACAUUCUGACAAGUACAUUCUGGUGCAACACAGUCCAUUGAAUUUCUCUGAGUGUUGCUGGUGCUCAGGCAGAUGAAAUGAGUUUGUACUCCUUAGUGUGCUCUCCUUAGCUCGUCUCUCAGACAUCCCCCCUUACCGCUUAUUGUCUCCUAUUCAACACAGCAUGUGUGCAUGGGUGUGUUCUCAGGUUUUCCUGAAGCAGCACCCCAACAGCAGCACACAUCUCCUGCAGCUGCCCCUGUUCCAUGCCCAGAGGUGUCUACAACUCUGAGUAUCCCAACUAUCACAGCUAUGAGGGAUGUGGUGCUCCCCAAACUGUUUUCAUUGCAGCUUGCCUUGUGUUACAGUGCAGGGAGCAGGCAGAGCGCAGGAAUCCUCCCCCAAGCCUGGAGAUGGCAGAGCAGAAACAAUGCCUAAAGGAGGGCUGACGCUUGCUGUACAACUGACCUGAAGUGCAUAACUUGUUGGAAGUCAAUAUGCAACAAGUGAGGAUCUGCACCCCUACCAAUUGGAAAGUGCCAGAGCACCUCCAGUUUUACCUGAAAUCUUCAAAUGUGUGUUGUCACCAUAUCAGAGCCUCACCUCUCAGCCAAGCAGCUGUUAUUCCUUUUUUUGGUCUGUUUAUUUACUUGCCUACUCGUUUAGAGCAAAUGUCUUCUAGCUGUUCUAGCUGGGCAGCAAAGCUUGAAGACUCAGGGAGCAAAUAAAAGGAACUCCAACUCUAUUAUUUAAAAAGAAAACAAAAUACAUCUUAUGAUCUGCUAAGCGUGUCUCCCUGUCUGCAGCAGGCCUGGCUGGUGCUUCUGGACUGAUUGGUUGGCAGUGCUGCCAUUUCUAACAGCUUUGCAGCCUUCCCACAGGAGUGGUACGGUGGUUGAUAUGUCUCAGGCUGUGUUUCAGCCUGCUGCUGCCUUUAAAAUGGUUGAAAGUCCUUAGCAUAGGGAGCAGAGGUGCCUAAAAAUACCCUCCGUGUUGUGCCCUCUUUUCCACAGCUGCAAUUCACUCCCCAUUAUAAACAAUGUGAUAACUUAAUUCUGAUGGGUCGACUACGGUGCUUUAGUGUGCUAUAAAACACAAAUUUAGGCAGCGCAUAAAAUAAGCUUUUCCUGCCAUAUGACACAAACCACAACUGUCUGGCAUGGACACACAAGCCAGAAUCUGAAAGAAAGCAAAGCACAAAGCCAGACGCGAUCUUUGAUCAUAUGUUGUUUAAAAUUAACAGCACAGAUCAUAACCACACUUAAAUAACACAUCUGUCUGGGGGGUUAGAUAGUACCGCACAAUAUGUUCUUUUAAUUCAUUAUGCAUUUGAAUCCCUCCCAAGUAACAGGUGGUUUUCUGACAACACGGUGUGCCAAAAAAUGCUGGAGAAAGGGCUGGCUGAUUGUUAUCCUUGGAGGUGAGGAAGCACAGGUUCCUGGAGAGCAGUGAGCUCUGGUUCCCUUAACUCUUUUGCUGCUGGCUCUCCAUCAACUCCUGCAGUAAUUACUGCCCUGCCUGAAUUGUAGCACCUGCCUUCACCUCUCUGGGUUUGCUCUCCAGCUCUUAGACUGUACUGUGGGGCAGAAGCUGUGUCUCAAGACAGGGCAGUAACGGGAGCGUGGCUGGAGCUGUGCUUCCGGAGAUGGGAACCUGCUGCCCAAGGGAUUCUGGAUCACGUUCCAGUGGUGGGACUGAAUGAGCAUGCUCUUCUUCAGAGCAGGUGUCUAACAACCUUAGAGACCCUUUAUGACCACCUGGAAGGAAAUGGCACCUUGAGAGGAGGAAUCCUCCCAGGCCAUAACUAUCCAUCUCAAACAUGACUUGUUUGUCCCCAUGAACUGUGAAGUGAGUGAUGAGCUCAGAUGUUCAUGUUCACACUGCAGACAGGUUUUAGAAGGGUGUGUCCCACCCAAGCUGUUCAUAUACUGCUCAGGGCUGUGUCAACAGAGUCCUGCAUUGCCCCCUGCCCAGAGCAUGAUUUAAGGGCAUGUGGACAAGAGGCUGGGUUCCCCUGCCCCUGCCCCCCACAUGGCGUUCCACUGAACAGUGACCAUCACACGUGGAGAAGAGACUGCACAGAUGAGCCAGCCAUAGCAUGAGGCAUGGACAUGAUUAAUGGCACCUCAUUACACCUGACAGCAACUGCUAAACCUUACGAAAUUAGUCACAUCUUUUAAAAAUCUAGCUGCAGUGUCUGGAGCCCUGUACUGAUGAAUUCCCAGGCUGGCUGCACACUGUGGCCUUGCUUGGGCUGCCAAGGUAGAGCCCAGCUGAAUGGAGAAGGAAGGACUUGUGAGAAGAAUCCUGUCUUCAAUCCUUGCCCAGUGAGGAGUUCCUGUGAGAAAGGACUGGGGAACACGGCCUGUGGCAAGAUCUGCAUCCCAAAUGAAGCUGCAUCUCACACCAGAUGAAAGAGAAAAAAUCACGCGUGCUAAAUGUAACUGGAAGGAAAUCAUAUGCCUAAGUAUAAAGCUACCGUCUGGUCUUACGGGCACUUAGACUAUGCAGAUCCUUCAGCCUUCGAUAUUAAAGCUCCCAAGGCAUCUAGCACUGUUUUGGAGUAUGCCUAACCAGUGCUCCUGCCUUGACCGAGCUGUGCAAGGGCGUACUUAUCUGACAUUUAAGCUGGAUUAGAAACCAUGUACUAUGUGUUCAUCUACUUAUCUUCUUUCAGGGCUCAGCCUCACAAGGACACUUCCAAAUUGCCUGCUGCUCUGCCAGAUCCAACCCCACAAGAAUGGCUGUGGUGACAAUCCCCCUCUUAUAAGGUCCUGCCCAAGAGACCAGUCCCUUGCUCUACUGCCUCACUCAAGUGGGAAGGGUUCGUUGUGCUUGCAGCUCAUGGAGCUGGAGGGAGCAGCUCCUUGUCUUCGACUUGCCCUGGAUUGGCUCAGGGGUCCCUGCUUCCACAGCCUCCUCUGUUUCCAAAGGGAAAAUGUACAAACCAGUGCCAGAGAAAUAUAUGUGGGGAUCACCUCUUUGACCAUUAGGUCUUAGAGUUAGUACUCUUCUUUCUCAUUCAAUAAAUAUAUACAUUUUUCCUGGUAAACAGGACUAGAUUGUAAAGAGAAGUGAAGGAUGAUAUUACCAACCCAUGUGCCUUACAGAGAGGGUGACCAAGAGCCUUCUGCAUGGAAUAGCAAAUCUCCUCAGGCACAAAUGGGGAGAGAGCACUUUGGGUGAGAUUCCUUAGCUGUUAUGAAAAAUGAAGGAUUUCAGAAAUGUGUCUCCUUUUUCAAGGAACAAAACUAGGACCAUGCUCAGUUCUGCCAGAAAGAAGCAUGCAAAGUGAAGAAGCUCAAUGAAAAAUAUCUAAGCUCUGGAGAGAAGUGGGAUUUUAAAUGUACCCCUAUGCUCCAUCCUCAGGGUUUUCCCAUGUGGAGGCUCCAGAUGGCCGCUUGCUCAGCACACUGGUUUUUGCAGCUCGGAGGUGUGUGUGGGUUAGGGACGAAUGCCAUGAUCUUAAAAACUGUGGGCCUAGCUGUACAUUUCCCUUGUCUGCCUGAUGAGGUGAGGGAGAGGGACACAGGAAUCAGAGCAGCCCCAAGCCCUACCCUUCACGGAUGAUCCCUGCUGGUACCAGGCCCAUGAGAAGACUGGGCUUUUGUCCCUGUGUCAGAUUUGUUGAUGUAAAGUGCCUACCCAGCUCCUGGGCAGUGAGCUUUUAUCUCCACAGGGCUCUCUGCUUCUCCAAGUAGAUGUAUCUGCUCUCCUGCCGUUAGCUCGAGGCUCUCUCAUAUGGCAAGCACCAAGGCACAUACGUGCACCCGGCACAGCUUCUUUCUUGGACCUGGUCCUUACGUUUCAGGGACAACAUGCCAUUUGCUCAUGCACCUCGAGCUCUGCAGGUGAAUCAAGAGUGUGGAGCUGGCCUCUGCUUUCGUUCAGCAUCACUGAGAGGCAGCCAUUCUCUGCAGACAUUGACGCGCUGCUGUGCUAAAUGCACCAAAAAGAAAUGGCUUGAGAGCAGAGAGGACUUAAAACUGUGCAGGUUUGGGGCUUUUUUCCCAUUUAAAAUUUUGUAAUAUUUCACUGCCAGCACUGAAUAAUUAUUUCAAAGGAGGAAUUGAAAAAUGUAUUAUUUUACAGCUUGUAAGUAAACAGAGCAAUGGCUCCAUGCUAUGUAUGGAGUGGCCUGAAGUCCUUGUUUUGUUUCUGUGGGACUUUGAGCAACUGCUGUGUUUAUUUUUUCCUGAUAAUCUCUCUAAUAACAUGGAAAAAGAAGGCACAGACUGUGCCUUUUUUCCUUUCUUUUUUGAGAAUUGAAAUAAUUUGUGUUUCUUUUCUGUGGAAUGAAUUUCCAAGCCAUAAUACCGCACGUUGAGUGUAUCUGGAAAGGAUGUUGCCUUGUUCGAUGAACUGAAUUGUGCACACAGUUGGAGGCUCUGACAGUGCCAGCAUCAGUGAAUGCAAGUUGCAUAAAAAAGAGGCAGCAUCAUUCAUGACACUAAUGAACAGUCCUUCCUCGUCUAUCAGAGAAAUCUUUCCCAGGGAUAACGAUUCUCCUAGCAUUUUCUUAGCCAUAAAAGAAGAGAUUGUGUUGGGUCUUUGGUUCUGCAUGAGACUAUCAGGAGGAUUCUUAGGCUGAGAACAGAAAUCAAUGUUUCUGUGAUACUGUAUUGGCUAAAUACUUAGACCAGAGAAAAAAGAUUUUGUUCUGACUGCACAUUGAACUUCUUGUUUUGCUUUGCUGUUACAAGAUUGUGAAAAUAGUGUGAAAUUUAAGGGUGCAUGUUUGAUUCUGAGAAAGUCUGCCAGCAAGUCUUGGUCAUUUAUUGCAACACAAUGUACCUGAUUCACCCAUAUAAUGCUACAGCUUUAAGUAACUGUAAGUUCAUUGAUUUCAGUGGAAUCUUGAGAGUAAAAGGGAAAAAGUGGUAAUUCAACUUUAAUGUAUUUCCUCAUUUUUCAUCAGGUAUUUAUUAGCCUUUAAGAUUCAUCCACUUUAAAUCUUUCUGAGUACUUGAAAAAAGUCUGCUGAGAUAUGACCAAAACCAAUAUGGAUAGCAGAAGAGGCUCUGGG